UACAGAGGGUGCAAGCGUUAAUCGGAAUUACUGGGCGUAAAGCGCGCGUAGGUGGUUUGUUAAGUUGGAUGUGAAAUCCCCGGGCUCAACCUGGGAACUGCAUCCAAAACUGGCAAGCUAGAGUAUGGUAGAGGGUGGUGGAAUUUCCUGUGUAGCGGUGAAAUGCGUAGAUAUAGGAAGGAACACCAGUGGCGAAGGCGACCACCUGGACUGAUACUGACACUGAGGCGCGAAAGCGUGGGGAGCAAACAGG
rnacentral:rRNA from 1 species